UACGUAGGGUGCAAGCGUUGUCCGGAAUUAUUGGGCGUAAAGAGCUCGUAGGCGGUUUGUCGCGUCUGCUGUGAAAACUCGGGGCUUAACUCCGGGCCUGCAGUGGGUACGGGCAGACUAGAGUGCGGUAGGGGAGACUGGAAUUCCUGGUGUAGCGGUGAAAUGCGCAGAUAUCAGGAGGAACACCGGUGGCGAAGGCGG
rnacentral:rRNA from 1 species